rnacentral:rRNA from 1 species
CGAGUGAAGCGGCAAUAGCUCAAAUUUGAAAGCUGGCCUUCUGGUCCGCAUUGUAAUUUGUAGAGGAUGCUUUUAGGCAGCCGCCGGUCUAAGUUCCUUGGAACAGGACGUCAUAGAGGGUGAGAAUCCCGUAUGUGACCGGCUCUGGCACCUUCUGUAAAGCUCCUUCGACGAGUCGAGUUGUUUGGGAAUGCAGCUCUAAAUGGGAGGUAAAUUUCUUCUAAAGCUAAAUACUGGCGAGAGACCGAUAGCGCACAAGUAGAGUGAUCGAAAGAUGAAAAGCACUUUGGAAAGAGAGUUAAAAAGCACGUGAAAUUGUUGAAAGGGAAGCGCUUGCAAUCAGACUUGGCUUCGAGUGUUCAACCUGUCUUCUGACAGGCCUAUUCAUUCGGAGCCAGGCCAGCAUCAGUUUUGGCGGCCGGAUAAAGGCCCUGGGAAUGUGGCUUCUCCUUCGGGGGAAGUGUUAUAGCCCAGGGUGUAAUACGGCCAGCCGGGACUGAGGUCCGCGCUUCGGCUAGGAUGCUGGCGUAAUGGUUGUAAGCGGCCCGUCUUGAAACACGGACCAAGGAGUCUAACAUCUAUGCGAGUGUUAGGGUGUCAAACCCUUACGCGUAAUGAAAGUGAACGGAGGUGGGAACCCGCAAGGGUGCACCAUCGACCGAUCCUGAUGUCUUCGGAUGGAUUUGAGUAAGAGCAUAGCUGUUGGGACCCGAAAGAUGGUGAACUAUGCCUGAAUAGGGUGAAGCCAGAGGAAACUCUGGUGGAGGCUCGCAGCGGUUCUGACGUGCAAAUCGAUCGUCAAAUUUGGGUAUAGG